GACGAACGCUGGCGGCGUGCUUAACACAUGCAAGUCGAACGGAAAGGCCCUGCUUUUGUUGGGUGCUCGAUUGGCGAACGGGUGUGUGACACGUGUGUAACCUGCCCUUGUCUUUGUGAUAACUUCAGGAAACUGGGGCUAAUACCGGAUAUGAGCUCCUGCUGCAUGGUGUUGGUUGGUAAGUUUCGGCGGUUGGGGAUGGACUCGCGGCUUAUCAGCUUGUUGGUGGAGUAGUGGCUUACCAAGGCUUUGACGGGUAGCCGGCCUGAGAGGGUGACCGGCGUCAAUGGGACUGAGAUACGGAGCAGAAUGCAAUGGGAGGCAGCAGUGGGGAAUAUUGCAGAGUGGGCGGACGUCUGAUGUAGAAACGUCGCGUGCGGGAUGACGGCCUUCGGGUUGUAAACCGAUUUCGCAUGUGACGAAGCGUGAGUGACGGUAAUGGGUAAAGAAGCAACGGCUAACUACGUG
rnacentral:rRNA from 1 species